UACGUAGGGUGCAGGCGUUAAUCGGAAUUACUGGGCGUAAAGCGUGCGCAGGCGGUCUGCUAAGAGAGGUGCGAAAUCCCCGGGCUUAACCUGGGAACUGCGCUUCUAACUGGCAGGCUUGAGUGUGGCAGAGGGGGGUGGAAUUCCACGUGUAGCAGUGAAAUGCGUAGAGAUGUGGAGGAACACCGAUGGCGAAGGCAGCCCCCUGGGCUAACACUGACGCUCAUGCACGGAAGCGUGGGGAGCAAACAGG
rnacentral:rRNA from 1 species